rnacentral:tRNA from 1 species
AAAAAGGUAAGCUAAUUAAGCUAAUGGGUUCAUACCCCAUUAAUAGAGGUACAAUCCUCUCCUUUUUA